CCCUGCCUACGGGAGGCAGCAGUGGGGAAUAUUGGACAAUGGGCGAAAGCCUGAUCCAGCCAUGCCGCGUGUGUGAAGAAGGCCUUCGGGUUGUAAAGCACUUUCAGCGAGGAAGAACGCCUUGGGAUUAAUACUCUCGAGGAAAGACAUCACUCGCAGAAGAAGCACCGGCUAACUCCGUGCCAGCAGCCGCGGUAAUACGGAGGGUGCAAGCGUUAAUCGGAAUUACUGGGCGUAAAGCGCGCGUAGGUGGCUAAGUCAGCCAGGUGUGAAAGCCCCGGGCUCAACCUGGGAACGGCAUCUGGAACUGCUUGGCUAGAGUGCAGGAGAGGAAGGUAGAAUUCCCGGUGUAGCGGUGAAAUGCGUAGAGAUCGGGAGGAAUACCAGUGGCGAAGGCGGCCUUCUGGACUGACACUGACACUGAGGUGCGAAAGCGUGGGUAGCAAACAGGAUUAGAUACCCUGGUAGUCCACGCCGUAAACGAUGUCAACUAGCCGUUGGGUCCCUUGAGGACUUAGUGGCGCAGCUAACGCAAUAAGUGACCG
rnacentral:rRNA from 1 species